GGUACAACGACAUAGCCACCACCACCACCACCGUAUAUAAGCUCUACAAAGAUUACUUGCAAAACCCCAAAAGGGACAUAAUUUGCGAUGGUGGCAAUUACGCUAUGGAAUCGUCUCUCACCUUUCUGACGUAUAAGGGUUCCGUUCCAUACCCGAAGCAAAAGAAGUAGAGGAAACUAUAUUUCAUGUUUUCCUGAAAGAAAGUUCUUAUGUACUCUGAUGUUGGCUUCAUUUAUGCGGGUCAUUUCUUUACUGAGCCAGACUACAAUAGGCUACAAUUGCUACAAGGGGAGAGGCCAUCCAUGGUUGAAGAAGGGCAAUGGAUAUACCACACACCUACCUAAAUGAGGUCAGUUUUUUGACUUGCUG